GCAGGCUGAGCCCAGGCGGGCCGCAGCGAGCACCCCGCAGCUCCGCGCCCCCGCUGGGCCCCGCUCCCGGCGGAAAGUUGGGCUGCGGCGGGCGGCGUUGGGGAAAGAGCGAGGCGGCUUGAGGGGGCACCGAGGGGGCGCCUAAGACACCGGGAAGGCGGCGCCGCUCGAGGGGACAACUUCGCCCGGGAGCCCGCGCCUGCAGCCCCCGGCCGGGCUCGCGGUGGUUCCUCCCGUCCCUCGGCCUCCCACCCCCCAACCCCCACCCGCCGAUCGAGACGCGGACCUUGGUCCCUGCGGCUCCGCGGCGGUGACACGAGCUGGGCUCAGCCACCGCCUCAGUCUCCUGCCGCGCCGCCACCUUGCCCGCACCAUGGAGUUCUCCGAGAGGAAAAGAAGCAGGAAAUCCCAGAGCUUCAAACUGGUGAGCCGAGAUUAUCACCAUGAGGUGUAUAAAAUCUCAGAAUUCAGCAACGAUGUUAAUGGGGAGACCAAAGAGACACAACCCAUUUUUUUAGGAGAUGAAAGCUUGGAAAUUAAAAAGCAAAUCACAGGGAUGAGAAGAUUACUGAAUGACAGCACUGGCAGGAUAUAUCAACGCGUUGGCAAAGAAGGAGAGAAAUUAAAAGAAGAGCCCCAGGAUUUGGAUUUAGUCUGGCCGCAGCGUUUGAACUCCUCUGCCGAGGCCCCACAGGGCCUCCAUCCUCCCUCACGCGGGGCAUGGAAUGAGCUACCAGCCCAAAGUGGACAGCUCUCAGGGCAGUAUGGUACACGUUCUAGAGCCUUCCAGAGUCAGCCCCCCGCCUCUGCAAGUUCCAAUGGAGAACUUCCAGGGGUGAAUUCAUCAGUUGGACCCAACUGCUGUACUUGUAACUGCCAGUCAACAUUGCAGGCCAUUCUCCAAGAACUCAAGACCAUGAGGAAAUUAAUGCAAUUUCAAGCAGUUGGAACUCAAAACAGACAACAACCCCCAAUUUCCCUUAUAUGCUCCCAGCGAACCGCUGUCUCACGCAAGAGAAAUAAAAAGAAAAAAGUGCUCCCGAAGACUGUGGAACCUGUGACGACUAUGAAACCAAAGUCCAGUCCAUUGGAAAUUGAGAAGAAGCCGGCAGCCAUGGCAGCCAUGGCCCCAAGGCCAUCUGGUCUCCAGGCCGCAGAGCACCCCUCCCCUGAGGAGAGCCACGUCCUGGGGUUUGGCAUCGUUCUCGAAUCUCCUUCCUCAGAUCCAGAAGUGCAACUUGCUGAAGGCUUCGAUGUGUUUAUGCCUAAAUCUCAGCUGGACUCUAUACUGUCAAACUACACCCGCUCAGGAAGCCUUCUGUUUAGAAAACUGGUGUGUGCGUUCUUUGAUGACAAGACUUUGGCUAACUCCUUACCCAAUGGGAAGAGGAAAAGAGGACUCAAUGACAACCGCAAAGGACUAGACCAAAACAUUGUGGGUGCAAUAAAAGUCUUUACCGAAAAGUACUGUACUGCGAAUCGUGUGGAUAAACUUCCUGGCCCAAGGGACUGGGUACAGAUUCUACAGGAUCAAAUUAAGCUGGCCAGAAGAAGGUUGAAAAGAGGCUCAGGUAUGGAUGAGCUGUAAAGGAAGUCACUCAGAGGUAGCUGACGGUGAUGAAAGACUGGACGGCAUCUCCCUACCGCCAACAGGUAAUAUAUUUGUCACCAGGAGAGAGACCCCAGAGGACCCAGAGCCAGGAUCCAUUGCCUAGACUUGGCGUUUUAGAAUACUGUUCCGUUUCCUCAAAGAUCCAGUUGAGGUUCCUGCAGUGUGGGUGUUUCGUGCUGGCUUGUCCUGUCUGAACAAUUUCUUCGUAACGUGUGGUAUCACAACUCCAAUUUGGCAUAAUUUUUUUAAAGAAAUCAUGCUUAAAGAUAUCACCCUUUAAAAGUCCAGUGCGUGUGACCCAUCAUAAAGAAGCCUUUCCCUUCCUGGUUUUAUUCCUUCACAGUCCCGUUGUGAAUGCACAGUCUUUGUAAAUGUAUUUGUUUUAUUGUAAAUUGCUUAGCUGCAUGCAGGGCAGACCUUCUCUUCCAGGACUGACAGAGGUUACAAAGCAGUGAUAACUGGCCUCUCUUCACUCAGAGGAGAAAACGGUUGUUCUGGGAGACAGGAGAGCUCUGACCUGGCCAGUGAAGUCAUUUAUGAAUGACAUCAGUCUUAAUAACCUGAAACAGACAUUCGGAACUGAAGAAGUACAAAUGAUGUACAAAUUCUUAGGAAAUAAAAACCUUUCACAUAAUUUAUGAUGAUGUAGUGACAAAAAAAAAAAAUAGUAACUCAAAGUUAGCACCCAUCUGCUUGGGAGCCAUUAAGCAUUUUAAAAUGGUAUUAACAGAGCAGCCAUGGCUUUGACCCUGUUUCAUGUUUAUUCUGUAGUUUAUUUGGUCCCUCAUACACUUGCAUUCUACUUUAUGUAAAACUAAAUAUGAUAAAAAAUUGGAGUUUAUUUCAAAGAAAUCUUUGCUGUGUUGAUAUUUAUUUUACAGAAAUAUUCACCUCCAUGUUUCUUUUACUAAUGAAAUAAUGCAUUGAAAAUACCAUUUAUUUAGAAAACCUUGCAUUUAUCCCUAAUUUAUCAUGUAAAGCAAAUCACCUUGAAUCUUGGGCACUUGACACAAAGGCCAAAACUUGCUGUAAAAGAAACAUGACUAUUGAUCACAUCUGAUCCCAGACCAGAACCCCAGGGAUGAAAACCACCGCCAUGAGAAAGAUUACCCUUUUCCCUAGCAUGUUUCAGCCAUGCCUUAAAAACCAACCGUUAGUGCUUCAAGGACCGAGUCCCAGCCUCUGCUUUGCCAGUGAGAGAACUGAAAACUAGGUUGCCUAG